rnacentral:rRNA from 1 species
GAUGAACGCUGGCGGCGUGCUUAACACAUGCAAGUCGAACGAAGCAUUUGCGACAGAUUUUUUCGGAAUGAAGUUGCUUAUGACUGAGUGGCGGACGGGUGAGUAACGCGUGGGUAACCUGCCUUGUACUGGGGGAUAGCAGCUGGAAACGGCUGGUAAUACCGCAUAAGCGCACAAUGUUGCAUGACAUGGUGUGAAAAACUCCGGUGGUAUAAGAUGGACCCGCGUCUGAUUAGCUAGUUGGUGAGAUAACAGCCCACCAGGGCGACGAUCAGUAGCCGACCUGAGAGGGUGACCGGCCACAUUGGGACUGAGACACGGCCCAGACUCCUACGGGAGGCAGCAGUGGGGAAUAUUGCACAAUGGAGGAAACUCUGAUGCAGCGACGCCGCGUGAGUGAAGAAGUAAUUCGUUAUGUAAAGCUCUAUCAGCAGGGAAGAUAGUGACGGUACCUGACUAAGAAGCUCCGGCUAAAUACGUG